rnacentral:lncRNA from 1 species
CUUCGGAUUUGUUGUAUUGUUAUGUCAUAUUUUUAUUUUGAAUAAACUAAUUGUCACGUACGUACAUAUUUAUAUAUGUUUUUUGUCUUUUUUCUCAUUCACAACCUAUAAAAUAGCACAUGCAAGGCAAAUCAAGUCUUACAAAAAAUACAAGUAUGUAUCAAGAUAUUAAUCACAUGUGUCAUUCGGUUUAUCGAGAUAAAUGAUCGUAAAAGAAUACCUAACGUUGAUCAAGUAUUGCGAUUGAAUCGUGAUUGGAUCAUGAAAGCUAUCAUGGUAUUUGAUUGUGAAUUCAAUUUUAUCGAUUUAAUUAAUUACACGGACAAAUUUACAAUGAAAUAAAACUGUCUGUCAAAAUGGUUCAACAUUAUGAUCAGAAUGUGAGAAAAUCCGGUUUAAAAGUACAUCGUGUUUACAAACUACAAAACUACAGAAGCCAGAUUGCUCCUAGAUAUUUCAAUGACAUCAAAAAUGUAAACAAACAUGAUAUAAUUCAUAACUCGAAUAACUAAAAUACUUCCUUCAAAAUGGUCAUUUCAUUUGAAAAAAUCAAAUGGUUAUCAAAGUUAAUUUGUGAAAGCAUAAUAAGAAAAAUGUCAGAUCGUGACAGAUCAAGUACCGGUUUUUUUAAAAGAAUCGUGAAAAGGAUCGUGAUAUAUCUGAUGCUCUUGGUGCUACUAAGACUUUCAAAUCAUUUUUCAAUGAUAAUGAGAAAUGAUAACUUACAUUUGUUAUUGAUAUAGACAAAACUAGAUUUACACCAAUAACCAGGGUCUCCUGUGUUGGUUAAAAGUGUUAUAAUCGUGCAAUGCCAUUGGUAUGCACAUUUUUUGUUUUUCCCUCGCCGGGAUUCGAACUCAUGCUACUGAGAUAUCGUGACACCAAAUCGCCUGCACUGUUUCCGGCGCGCUAGACCACUCGACCACCUUGGCUUCACUAAAAUAAAGCUUAUAUAUUUGUCCACCGUACUGCGCGUUGCAGGGUACAUAAAAUAUCGCACGUCCGUUCCUCUGUCUGUCCUUUCGGUUUAUUAGAUUUUUCAAUUGUGCAAUUCUUGCCAGAUUUUUAUAAAAAUUAUUUUGUACGGACACGUCCGAAAUCAGUGCCUAUCGACUUCAUUUUUAAAAAAAUAAUGCAAUUUUGGAACUAUUGAUUUUAUUUCAAAUGUGAUGUCAAUCCGUCAUUUCUCUAGUAUAUUUGUAAAAGUUAAAAAAGAAGUUGGUUAUUGCCCUUUGUUGGACAAACUACGUGCAACGCGGAGCAAAUUGAAACUUUGUUCUUUUAUUACAGCUGAUUGCAUUGAGUGUGUAGGUAAAGGUAAUAUCUUUGGUUAGCUUGCUUUCUAGCUGAACCAUGCAGUCAUUAUUAGGUUAGGUAAACUACCCUUCUUUAACAGAAGACAAGUCCGACAGAUAACCUAUCUAUCUGUAUGUAUGACUAGGCUACUUCGAAAGGAGGGUAGUAUAUCUUACCUAAUAAUGACUUCACAACUUAAACAAAUUUAGUGUACACUGAUUACUAUUUCAGUAAUAUACAAUUAUUGACUAUUUGUUCCUAUUUAUUUCACAACGUUUUGGAAAAAUCUCACAACAAUAGAAGCAAACAUUUCAGCGACUUUUCUAACAGAGGUAUAUUGGAAUGACUGUUAGAAAAAAAGAAAAACAUCAAGAUCAAGAUAUUUAAUUGUACAUUUAUGUUAUCUUAUAUCACGGCACCGUGUAAAGUGGUUUAAUUUUUCUAAACAUAUUGACCCAAACAAAGUAGCCAUGUAAGACAGGCUGAUCCAUAAGUAAUUGCGAAUAAAAUGACGUUUUUCUAUUGUAAGGUGAGUCUUCAAAGCUAGUGACAUAGUAUGCAAAAACACAAAUAACCACUAAUAUCAAAAGAUGCUUUCAAUACACAUAGCAAUGGUAACUUAACAAUUCAGACAAUAAGUCGUUAAUGCAUUCGAACACAUAUAUCUGCAUUCGAGUUAUCUGAUUUUUUUUGUGAAACAUGAAUGAACUUUAAAAAAAUGUGUGUACACUGUUUUCUUUUGUAUAUUUAUAUACACAAUUAUUGUCUAUAUUGUUAUUAUUAGUUUAAGGAGAAUUUCCGAACUGUGGAAUAAUCUCUUAAAAUCCGAAUAAAUCAUUUCCGCAACUUUUUCAAACAAGUAUCUUUAAAUAACUGGUAGAAAAAAAAACAAUACAUCAAAAUCAAGUUAUCCAAUUAACAUAUAUUCUACCUAAUAACGACAAUCUUGCAUGUUGUUUAAUUUUAGUAAUAUAAUUACUCCACAAAGUAUGUAUGUAAAACAGCUUUAUUUAGAAGACAUUGGAAGUAAUAUGAGGUUUUUAAAUCGCAAAGACAGUCUUCAAAACGUCAAAACUGGUGACAAAGUUUGCCCGAAAAUAAAUAGGCACUUUAAUAAAACGAUGAUUUAAAUGAACAUACCAUUGGAAAAGUAAUAUUUCUGACAAUUAGUCGUAAACGAAUUCGAACACAUAUGUCGGCAUUCGAGCAUAGUGAUUGUUUUUGUAAAAAAUCACCAUGAACUUAAACAAAUUUGGUGUACACUGAUUACUUACUCCAUUAAUAUAUAUUAAUUGACAAUUAGUUAUUAUUAAGUUCACGAUAAUUUCCGAACUUGUGAAAUAAUCUCACAACAUUAGGAGCAAAUAUUUUGGAGACUUUGUAGACAGGUUAUACGAAUUUUGAAUGACUGUUAGAAAAAAAGCAAAACAUCAAGAUCAAGAUAAUCAACUGUUCAUUUAUGUUAUCUUAUUUAACAGCACUGUGUUUUGUUGUUAAUUUUUUUCUGAAAAUAUUAACUAAAAACGAAAAGGCACUUACAACAGCCUUUGCGAAUACAAUUAUGAAAAGAGUGUUAAAAAAUUAAAGCUGAUGAUUUUUUUAAAAACCACAACAUGAGCAAUGUCAUAGAAAGAUGCUUUCAUAGAACAUAACAUUGGAAACUUCAUAUUUCAGACAAUUAGUCGUAAACGCAUACGAACACAUAUAGCUGCAUUCGAGCUUACUGCUUAUUUUUUUAUAAAAAUUUAAUGAACCUGAAUAAAUGUAUUGCACACUGUUUUUUUGUACAUUGCUUACUUACUUCAUUAAUAAACAAUUAUUCACAAUUUUUUAUUAAUAAUUUCAGUGGAAUUUCCAAACUUGUAGAAUAAUCUCACAACAUUCGAAGCAAAUAUGUCGGCGACUUUUUAAAUAGGUUUACUCAAAUAACUGUUAGACAAAGACAAUAACAAUCCAAACCAAGGAGUCAACAAAGACUAAAAAAACAAAGGACAUUAACAUCAACAGUUAUAAAUGAUAAAUAAGAAACAACACGAACUCCACUAAAAACCGGGAGUGAAAUCAGGUGCUCCGGAAGGGUAAGCAUUUCCUGUACCGUAUACGGCACCCGUCAUGUUAUUCCUUUGUUCAGUUCGGUAAUGAUGGAAGGUUAUUAUGACUGAGGAAGAAUAUCAGAUAUGAUUUCUGACACACUUUUGUCAUAAUGGCCAAUCAGCUCAUGAUGGCGACCGUAACAUUUCUUGAGUGAUGACCUUAAUUUGAUUGAUUCAGAGUCCUGACUUAGCAUCUUUUGAGAAAGCAGUAUUCCUCGUUCAACAAAAUCAACGUACUUUGAACUAGCUCUAGAGCAACGUAUCAACUGAGACACAUAUACUCCAUAUGUUGGUGCCGCUGGGAUGUUGCCACACAGAAAUGGAAAGUUGACUUUAGGAAAAUUAAAAUCAUCGCAUCUGUCAUAAAUUUUGGUAUUCAACCUACCAUCAGUAGUUAUUUCGAGAAAAUCAAGCAAUAAAGCAAGACAUUCUCAUUGGGGUAUUAACUGUAUAUUUGUUCUACCUAAUAUGACGGCACGCUUGCAUCCAGGUUAAUUUUGCUAAUAAUAUUUACUAAGAAUUGUAGGCACACAAAACAGGCUUAUUUAAAGGAAAUUGCAAAUGAUAGGACGUUUUCAAUUUCAAGGACAGUCUUCAAAACGUCAAAGCUCGUGACAAAGUUUGACAAAAAUAGAUAAUCACUUUUUUUAUAAAACGGUGCUUAAAAUUAAUAUAACAAUGGUAAAGUAAUAUUUAAGACAAUUAGUCUUUAACGCAUUCGAACACAUAUAUAUGGUACGCCACAGCUGUCUUAUGUGGAACUCUGAUAUUACGUUAUGUUGUUCUAUUAUUAGUUGAUGAUAGUUUUUAUUUACAUUAUAUGGUUUUGGCAUAACUCAAUAUGGAAUAGUCAUUACACAAUGAUAUUUCGAUAUAACAUGAUAUGGUUUCGUAUUGACUUGAUAUAGUUUUGUCAAUACUUAACAUGCUUAAUAUGAAGACGAAACACGCGUCUGGCGUAUUAAAUAAAAACAAAUCUGUCCAUUAUUUUAUGACAGUUGCAGGUAUAAAUGUAGAUUUACAAGUGUGAAUUGUUAUAGCUAUAAGUUAAUGCAUGUAAAAAUAUAAGAUACAAAAAGGAAAUUGUUAAUGGGAAAGAGAACAAUGCGAUUAUUGAAUACCGUUUAAAUCUCGAUUAGAUAUAAUAUGAAAAGUCUUAAAACAGCAAUCUAUCAUAAAUUAAAAUCGCAAAAAUACUGAACCCUGAGGAAAACUCAAAACGGAAAGUCCAAACAGCAAAAAUAAAACCUUAAACACACCAAACGAACGGAUAACAACUGUCAUAUUCCUGACUUGGCACAGACAUUUUGUGUGUGUAGAUGAUGGUGUACUGAACCUGGGUUUAUAGCUUUUUAAACCUGUCACUUGUUCAACAGUCGCAUCAAAUUCCAAUAUACUGACAACGAUGCGCGAACAAAACAAAUUGAUUCGAUAGGCAAAAACGUCAAAAAUAUAGCUUUCGACAUUGUGUUAUAAUCUUAAUCACUAAAAACAAACACCAUACAAAUAUGUAA